AAGUCAAUGGAUUGAGUUUAUCUAACCACCAUAGUUUGGUUUUCACUGAGCCAUGGAAUCAAGGAUUAUCAGAAGAUUUUUAAGAUCUGUAAAAGCUUUUCAUUGAGGAUUUGUGCUUGUGCAGAUUACUUAAUGGGGUAUGUUUACGGUUGACAAGAUCCAAGCAAACGACAAUGUUCACCACAUCAGUAGAAAGAAUACCACAUCAGUAGAAAGAAUAACAGAUGAGCACAUGCUUCGAAGCUCAUAUUUGAUGAAAAUAUGUUAUACUUUCCAAUGCCCACUCAUAAUCCGAAAUAUCAAAAUUUUAAGCUAUGGUUUUCUUGUCAAUUUUUUUUUAAUAAUAAAAUUUUAAUAAUAAACAAUUUCUAGUAAAUUUUUACUCGUCUUUUUGGUGAGUAUUUGGCCUGUGAUUAAGGACAGAGGAUUGUUGCAGUGUUAGUUUAGUUUAACAGCUUAUUCAUGCGAGCAAGGGUUUUAGAGGGGCACAGAUACUGCCAUAAAAAACAUGCAAAAUCCACCAGUCAUAUGGUCACAGAAGCUGCCUGAGGAACUCUAUGAAGAAGCCACAUUGUUUAUUAUUUUCGACAGUAGUGGUUCUAUUAGUGGCUUGGAGGAUCACUGAUUGUCAUAGGAUCGAAUGCAACUAUGAAUUGCACCAACAAAAAUGAGGGUGAGUUAGAUCUACAAGUGUAUGCACACUCAAAAGCAACGCUUAAAUAAGCCCUUUCAGGAUAAUAUUCAAUAAUGCCUUAUGCACCAUCGGGAUCACAAGCAGUUUUAUGGUCAUUGCCACCCUCACCACGGUCGCUGCCACCGGCGGUACACAGUGCCAACCCACCAUCACCAUUGUCUCGAAUAACACCAUUUGCAUCGUCACUAUCUCCAUACACCACUCCUGUUGGGGCUGCCCCGCCACCUGCAAAUUUAGUACCCCCAGUUGCCAUGCCACACACUGAAAUUUCCAGAACCUGCAUUUGCUCCUAUUAUAUCAGUUGCUGCUCCAACACCCAUGUCCACAUCCACUCAUACAGUUCAUGUGAAGCCUCGAAGACGGUCAGUUACUUCUCCUCCACCUCCUGCAGCAUCUCCGUCACACCCAUCAACUUCUUUGCCACCUUUAUCAACUCCAUUAACGCCAAAAGCUACAACACCAGGACCUUUGCCAACAGCACAAGCACCUUCUCCUCCGCCUUCAGUCAGGUCUAGACCACCAACCAAUGUGCUCCCGCCAGCCAGGCCUAAUCUCCGUCCACCCUCAGCGUUCCCACUGUUGCCUCCUACAGCACCCUCUUCUUCCGUGAAAUCUCCACCGCUUUUGUCAUUGCCAUUUAAAAAUGGAAGUCUGCCAGUGAGCUCAAAACAAUCUCAUUUAUCAAUGGGACUUAAGGAUGGAUGUGUCAUUGGUGGAGUUUUUCUAUUGCUUGUUCUCGUACUCAUUUGCAUUUGCAACAAAUAUAGGAGAGGAACAAAGGAUUCCACCCCAGAUGCAGAGCACUACCAUAGAACUGCCAGCUUGGAACCAAAAGAUAACUCUGCAAGUGUUCAGCUGGUUGAGACCUUUUCUCAGCCACCUCCUUCAAUCGGCAGUAGAGGUUCUCUGUCCAUGAACUCGGUGCUUGAAUAUCCAUUGCUAAUUAAUAACCCUUGUUUUGCAUCGGGAUCAAGUGGAAGUUUCACAUACGAUGAACUAGUAGCAGCCACAGAAGGGUUCUCAGAGACCAACCUUAUUGGAGAAGGUGGUUUUGGAUAUGUUCAUAAAGGAUACCUUCGUGGUGGCCAAGAAGUUGCAGUUAAACAGCUAAAGGAUGGAAGCAGGCAGGGGGAUCGCGAAUUUCAAGCAGAGAUUGAGAUAAUCAGUAGGGUACAUCUUAUACAUCUUGUUUCAGUGAUUGGGUACUGCAUAGCUGGGACUAAGAGAUUGAUUGUUUAUGAGUUUGUUCCAAACAACACCUUGGAAUUCCAUUUACAUGGAAUUGGGCAACCUGUUUUGGAGUGGGCAACUAGAUUGAAAAUUGCUAUUGGUUCAGCAAAAGGACUAGCAUAUCUCCAUGAGGAUUGCAACCCGACAAUUGUUCACUGUGACAUCAAGGCAGCUAAUAUUCUUCUUGAUCAUAAAUUUGAGGCAAAGGUUUCUGACUUUGGACUUGCCAAAAGUUUUUCUGAUACUAGGUCUAUAAUUAGUCACACUUGCACCCAAGUGGUGGGAACUUUUGGGUACUUGGCACCAGAGUAUGCAUCAAGUGCCAGAGUAACAGAGAAAUUAGAUGUGUAUUCAUAUGGUAUCAUGCUUCUAGAGCUCAUUACUGGACGUCCACCUAUCAGUGACAUUAACUCUGUAAAAAGAGAAGCACUGGAUUCCUGGGCUAGGCCCUUGCUCAACCAAUCUUUAGAAUAUGGCAAUCUCAGAGAUGUUGUUGAUCCACGAUUUAUGGCAAUUUCAGAGAUGUUUUUGAUCCACGAUUAGAGAACAAUUAUAAUACCAGUGAGAUGGCCAGCAUGGUUGCUUGUGCUGUUGCUUGUGCUGCUGCUUGUGUGCGCCAUUCAUCAUGGCUUCGACCGAGAAUGAGCCAGAUAGUUCGUGCUCUAGAAGGAGAUAUUUCUGCAAUGGAUCUCUAUGAAGGAACAAGGCCUGGACAUAGCACCUUCUAUGGUUCUGCCAGUUCUUUUUAUGAUAACUUUCAAUACAAGCAAGACAUAAAGAAACACAACAUGGAACUAGCCACUUGGCGGCAUGGCGCCAGUGCGUACAGUGGAACCACCAGUGAGUAUGGUCUUAACCCAUCUAGCUCAAGUAGUGAUACUGGCAGCAGAUAAACUGCCCCAUAGAUGCGCAACCACUACGAAGACAAUGAUAAUGCUUGGGUUUUAGAGUAACCUUUGACGACCAAUUACCCUUUCUGUCAUCUGAUAUAGUUCAGUUUCCUUUUUA